GAUGAACGCUGGCGGCGUGCCUAAUACAUGCAAGUCGAGCGAACGGACGAGAAGCUUGCUUCUCUGAUGUUAGCGGCGGACGGGUGAGUAACACGUGGAUAACCUACCUAUAAGACUGGGAUAACUUCGGGAAACCGUAGCUAAUACCGGAUAAUAUUUUGAACCGCAUGGUUCAAUAGUGAAAGACGGUCUUGCUGUCACUUAUAGAUGGAUCCGCGCUGCAUUAGCUAGUUGGUAAGGUAACGGCUUACCAAGGCAACGAUGCAUAGCCGACCUGAGAGGGUGAUCGGCCACACUGGAAAUGAGACACGGUCCAGACUCCUACGGGAGGCAGCAGUAGGGAAUCUUCCGCCAUGGGCGAAAGCCUGACGGAGCAACGCCGCGUGAGUGAUGAAGGUCUUCGGAUCGUAAAACUCUGUUAUUAGGGAAGAACAUAUGUGUAAGUAACCGUGCACAUCUUGACGGUAACUAAUCAGAAAGCCACGGCUAACUACGUG
rnacentral:rRNA from 1 species